AGUACAUUGCUGUAUUCCAAAGAUGUAGCUGAACAUGAAUAGAGACAUUUUAUCACAUUGGCAUAACAUUUUCUGCAGCAAUGCAAUGGUAAAACGCAAUUGUCUGUAUCUCCAAGGUACUAUGGUUUGGACCAAUAUGAAUUAAACAAGGAGUUUUAUCUUAAUUCAGAAGAAAAUACAUAUUGUGAAUGUAAUCUAUAUCACUGAUAUAAAAAGUUUAGCCAGACUGCCUUUUGAUAAAUAGUGG